UACGAAGGGGGCUAGCGUUGCUCGGAAUCACUGGGCGUAAAGCGCACGUAGGCGGCUUGUUAAGUCAGGGGGUGAAAUCCUGGAGCUCAACUCCAGAACUGCCUUUGAUACUGGCGAGCUUGAGUUCGGGAGAGGUGAGUGGAACUGCGAGUGUAGAGGUGAAAUUCGUAGAUAUUCGCAAGAACACCAGUGGCGAAGGCGGCUCACUGGCCCGAUACUGACGCUGAGGUGCGAAAGCGUGGGGAGCAAACAGG
rnacentral:rRNA from 1 species